GUGCUCGCUUCAGCAGCAUGUAUACGAGAAUCGGAACAAUGCAGAGAAGAUUAGCCGGCCCCUACGUAAGGAAGACAGGCAAAUUCGUGAAAAAAUUCCAUAUUUUU